GUUGUAUGGUUAAGUGACUAAGCGUACACGGUGGAUGCCUUGGCAGUCAGAGGCGAUGAAAGACGUAGUAACUUGCGAUAAGCCCAGAUUAGGUAGUAACAACCAUUUGAGUCUGGGAUUUCUGAAUGGGGAAACCCACGUGCAUAAGCACGUAUCCUUACCUGAAUACAUAAGGUAAGGAGGCGAACCGGGGGAACUGAAACAUCUAAGUACCCCGAGGAAAAGAAAACAACCGAGAUUCCGAAAGUAGCGGCGAGCGAAAUUGGACUAGCCCUUAAGCUUUACACGCGUUAGACGAACGGUCUGGAAAGUCCGACGAUACAGGGUGAUAGUCCCGUAGUUGACGACGUGUGUUCAGUGAAAUCGAGUAGGGCGGGACACGUGAUAUCCUGUCUGAAUAUGGGGGGACCAUCCUCCAAGGCUAAAUACUACUGACUGACCGAUAGUGAACCAGUACCGUGAGGGAAAGGCGAAAAGAACCCCUGUGAGGGGAGUGAAAUAGAACCUGAAACCGUGUACGUACAAGCAGUAGGAGCAGGCUUUGUCCUGUGACUGCGUACCUUUUGUAUAAUGGGUCAGCGACUUAUAUUCAGUGGCAAGGUUAACCAUCUAGGGGAGCCGUAGGGAAACCGAGUCUUAACUGGGCGUUCAGUCUCUGGAUAUAGACCCGAAACCAGGUGAUCUAGCCAUGGGCAGGUUGAAGGUUGAGUAACAUCAACUGGAGGACCGAACCGACUAAUGUUGAAAAAUUAGCGGAUGACUUGUGGCUAGGGGUGAAAGGCCAAUCAAACCUGGAGAUAGCUGGUUCUCCCCGAAAGCUAUUUAGGUAGCGCCUCGGACGAAUACUACUGGGGGUAGAGCACUGUUAAGGCUAGGGGGUCAUCCCGACUUACCAACCCUUUGCAAACUCCGAAUACCAGUAAGUACUAUCCGGGAGACACACGGCGGGUGCUAACGUCCGUCGUGGAGAGGGAAACAACCCAGACCGCCAGCUAAGGUCCCAAAUUACUACUAAGUGGGAAACGAUGUGGGAAGGCUCAGACAGCCAGGAUGUUGGCUUAGAAGCAGCCAUCAUUUAAAGAAAGCGUAAUAGCUCACUGGUCGAGUCGGCCUGCGCGGAAGAUGUAACGGGGCUAAGUAGUAAACCGAAGCUGCGGCAAUAUACUUUUGUAUAUUGGGUAGGGGAGCGUUCUGUAAGCGGUUGAAGGUGUGUGGUAACGCAUGCUGGACGUAUCAGAAGUGCGAAUGCUGACAUGAGUAACGAUAAAGGGGGUGAAAAACCUCCUCGCCGGAAGACCAAGGGUUCCUGUCCAACGUUAAUCGGGGCAGGGUAAGUCGACCCCUAAGGCGAGGCCGAAAGGCGUAGUCGAUGGGAAACGGGUUAAUAUUCCCGUACUUCUUACAAUUGCGAUGGGGGGACGGAGAAGGCUAGGUGGGCCUGGCGACGGUUGUCCAGGUUCAAGUGCGUAGGCUUAAGAGUUAGGUAAAUCCGGCUCUUUCUAAGGCUGAGACACGACGUCGAGCACCUACGGGUGUGAAGUCAUUGAUGCCAUGCUUCCAGGAAAAGCCUCUAAGCUUCAGAUUGUAAGGAAUCGUACCCCAAACCGACACAGGUGGUCGGGUAGAGAAUACCAAGGCGCUUGAGAGAACUCGGGUGAAGGAACUAGGCAAAAUGGUACCGUAACUUCGGGAGAAGGUACGCUCUUGAUGGUGAAGUCCCUUGCGGAUGGAGCUGACGAGAGUCGCAGAUACCAGGUGGCUGCAACUGUUUAUUAAAAACACAGCACUGUGCAAAAUCGUAAGAUGACGUAUACGGUGUGACGCCUGCCCGGUGCCGGAAGGUUAAUUGAUGGGGUUAGACUUCGGUCGAAGCUCUUGAUCGAAGCCCCGGUAAACGGCGGCCGUAACUAUAACGGUCCUAAGGUAGCGAAAUUCCUUGUCGGGUAAGUUCCGACCUGCACGAAUGGCGUAAUGAUGGCCACGCUGUCUCCACCCGAGACUCAGUGAAAUUGAAAUCGCUGUGAAGAUGCAGUGUACCCGCGGCUAGACGGAAAGACCCCGUGAACCUUUACUACAGCUUGGCACUGAACAUUGACCCUACAUGUGUAGGAUAGGUGGGAGGCUUUGAAGCACGUACGCCAGUAUGUGUGGAGCCGUCCUUGAAAUACCACCCUUGUAGUGUUGAUGUUCUAACGUCGACCCCUUAUCGGGGUUGCGGACAGUGCCUGGUGGGUAGUUUGACUGGGGCGGUCUCCUCCCAAAGAGUAACGGAGGAGCACGAAGGUGGGCUAAUCACGGUUGGACAUCGUGAGGUUAGUGCAAUGGCAUAAGCCCGCUUGACUGCGAGAAUGACAAUUCGAGCAGGUGCGAAAGCAGGUCAUAGUGAUCCGGUGGUUCUGAAUGGAAGGGCCAUCGCUCAACGGAUAAAAGGUACUCCGGGGAUAACAGGCUGAUACCGCCCAAGAGUUCAUAUCGACGGCGGUGUUUGGCACCUCGAUGUCGGCUCAUCACAUCCUGGGGCUGAAGUCGGUCCCAAGGGUAUGGCUGUUCGCCAUUUAAAGUGGUACGCGAGCUGGGUUUAGAACGUCGUGAGACAGUUCGGUCCCUAUCUGCCGUGGGCGUUGGAAGAUUGAAGGGGGCUGCUCCUAGUACGAGAGGACCGGAGUGGACGAACCUCUGGUGUUCGGGUUGUGUCGCCAGACGCAUUGCCCGGUAGCUAAGUUCGGAAUCGAUAACCGCUGAAAGCAUCUAAGCGGGAAGCGAGCCCUGAGAUGAGUCUUCCCUGAUACUUUAAGUAUCCUAAAGGGUUGUCGGAGACUACGACGUUGAUAGGUCAGGUGUGUAAGUGCUGUGAGGCAUUGAGCUAACUGAUACUAAUUGCCCGUGAGGCUUAACCAUACAACACCCAAGGGGUUU
rnacentral:rRNA from 1 species